CAUGGAUUGAUUCUCAAUAUGUGUGCCGAAAAUUGGGAAUUGCACAGCAACAAUAAAACUAUCCAGUCAUAUUUGAUAUUACAAGCCCAAACUGGACGUACUUACGUCUAAGCCCAAGCCCAAACCUGGACGUACUUACGUCUAAGCUCAAUUCAAUUUCAAUCCCCAAUGUUUUCGCCCAAUCUAACUUUGUACAUUCAUAGCCAUAACACUUGACAAAAAUAAAAUAUAUAAAAAAAAAAUCAUAGCCAUAACACUUGGUCUGAUGGUAUUAUUCUGCAUUUAUAAGUGAAAAGUUUAAGAUUUAAGACUUAUGCAUGGUGUAUUUGAAAUUAUUUAUUCUCCAAUUCCUUAAUAUGAAUUUAACAUUUUAUUAAAAAAAACUUUGUACAUUCAAUUCUACAUGAAUACUAUUUUACAACGUUCAGCGAACAUCGUAAAAAAAUGUAUUACAUAGUCCACUAGAUGCCUUAAAAUAGUUUAUGGCGUAUUUCUUUUCAUCACUCACAACUUAACGUGCACGUCAUAAUUGAGAUUAUUUACGACGCGGACUCAUAUUGAGGCUAUACGUCUUAAAUGCUACUUCACGACGUAUUUUGCACGUCGUAAAUGGGCAAUUAUGUCGUAGUGACAUAGACUAGAAGUUUAUGUACAGAUGGUUUACCAAAUGAAAAAGACAUUUGAAAUACAUAUUUAUAUUGCUAUAUAGAUAAUGUCGAAAGAGACUGAUAAGAAAAAAGCACACUAACAAUGACACUAGUUAAACAACUAUUCAAUUAUUUAUUCAGUAAAACAGUUCCGUUAAGUAAGAUUUAUUUUUAGCUGUGCUUCUUGAAAUAUUAUUUUGAUCUCACUUUACGCAUUGUAACUUAAAAGUCAUCACUUUACUCCAUAAAACUCAAAAUUCGUUACAUUUUGACUUGUGAACUCUCUCUUCUCUUUGAAACUUAUAGGUUGUCUCCUAAAACAUAUGUGGGACCUAACGUCCAACAAAACUAUAACACAUGUGCAAUAAAUUUGAUUAUAAAUAUCUGUUAUUUGUUAACAUUCAACAAUAAGAGAAUAUGAAGUUUGAAAG
rnacentral:lncRNA from 1 species